rnacentral:rRNA from 1 species
AACGAACGCUGGCGGCAUGCCUAACACAUGCAAGUCGAACGAGACCUUCGGGUCUAGUGGCGCACGGGUGCGUAACGCGUGGGAAUCUGCCCUUGGGUUCGGAAUAACAGUUAGAAAUGACUGCUAAUACCGGAUGAUGACUUCGGUCCAAAGAUUUAUCGCCCAGGGAUGAGCCCGCGUAGGAUUAGCUUGUUGGUGAGGUAAAAGCUCACCAAGGCGACGAUCCUUAGCUGGUCUGAGAGGAUGAUCAGCCACACUGGGACUGAGACACGGCCCAGACUCCUACGGGAGGCAGCAGUGGGGAAUAUUGGACAAUGGGCGAAAGCCUGAUCCAGCAAUGCCGCGUGAGUGAUGAAGGCCUUAGGGUUGUAAAGCUCUUUUACCCGGGAUGAUAAUGACAGUACCGGGAGAAUAAGCCCCGGCUAACUACGUGCCAGCCGCCGCGGUAACAC